CCCGGUCACCGUACGUGUCUACGUCGAAGGUUAGUGGCAUUGCUUUCACUUCUUUCGUUCUUCUCUUCCUUUUAUGCUCUAUUUGCUGAUUUUUAAUGUGAAAUUGUUAAAUUUCUAAUUUUUGCUGAUUUUGUGAUGUUGCUCUUUUUUUAAUUCUGGAAAUUUUUGUUGAAAAUUUCUUGCUGCUGCUAAAAAUGGAAAUCAAAUCAUUAUUGAAAUUUUUGUUUAGGGAUUAGGGAUUACUUGUUGCGAUUUUGUAAUAUUUGUUGAAAUUUCAGGUUUAGUGUGAUUAGGGAUUACUUGCUGCUGAUGAAAUUUCAAGUUUAGUGUAAUUAGGGAUUACGUGUUGCUGUUUUGUAAUGUUUGUUGCUGAAUGCUAAAAAUGAAAAUCAAAUCAAAUGCUGUUUUAUAUUUUCAAAUGGCUGUUGUUAACUUUUGUGCAGUUCCAAGGUUUCAAAGUCCCUUUCUGUACCUGGGAGAAAUUUUGUUAUUGUAAGAUCCAUCUCCUUUUCUACCCGUAGUGAACAGGAUCAGCAAGAUACAAAUGAUGAUAUUGUUUGAAAAUAUUGUAUAUUGAUAAUAGACAAAAUGACAGCCACUUUUAUGAGUACGAGUAUAUUACACUGCUGGGAUAUUUUACUUAGUUCCUGAGUGGUUGUCUUGUUAGUAACA